rnacentral:rRNA from 1 species
AGACCACGCCAACAGUUGCCAGCUCGGUCCUUCCCGGGGAGUUGGUGGGGGACAACCUGUUGGGUAACCGGCCUCUGCUAAAGAGGAGGAAGGAAUGGGCAACGGUAGGUCAGCAUGCCCCGAAUUAUCUGGGCUACACGCGGGCUACAAUGGGUGGGACAAUGGGUAUCGACACCGAAAGGUGAAGGCAAUCUCCUAAACCCAUCCGUAGUUCGGAUUGUGGGCUGCAACUCGCCCACAUGAAGCUGGAAUCUGUAGUAAUCGUGUCUCAAAAUGGCACGGUGAAUAUGUCCCUGCUCCUU